GACAGAGGGUGCAAACGUUGUUCGGAAUUACUGGGCGUAAAGCGCGUGUAGGCGGCUAAGUAAGUCGGGCGUGAAAUCCCACGGCUCAACCGUGGAAGUGCACUCGAAACUGCAUAGCUAGAGUCCUGGAGAGGAAGGUGGAAUGCUUGGUGUAGAGGUGAAAUCGUAGAUAUCAAGCGGAACACCGGUGGCGAAGGCGGCCUUCUGGACAGUGACUGACGCUGAGACGGCGAAAGCGUGGGGAGCAAACAGG
rnacentral:rRNA from 1 species